rnacentral:lncRNA from 1 species
ACACAUAAAAAAUAUAAAAAAAUCUUCGAUGUUUAAGGUAAUAGAAGAUAAAGCAGUAAUUGUUGAAGGAUAAAUUGUUUCCAGGUUUAGUUUAGUUAGUUAGUUAGUUGGACAGGUGUAUGGCUCAUAUGCCAUCACAUAUUGUUGGACUAACAUGUCCAGAUUCAUGCCAAGUGUACAGCUCACAUGCUGGUACAAAUGUAUUGGCUGAGUCAUUUUCUGUACUAGCUAAAAUAUAUAUAUUGAAAGUAGGAUGAGAUCACACAAUGAGUGUGUGCAUGAUUACAUUCUUUUUGCCUAACAGAUUCUCUCCCUCUCCUUUCUCCCUAAAACCUUUUCUCAUACACUUUCUGUGCAUGAACCUCUACUAUUCUAUAGAAACUUCAACAUGGUAUCAGUAGCAAAGGUUCUGAUCUGAGACUGGGCGUAGUGAAAUCACAAUCCAGCUGAAGGAAGCAUUAUCUAGUCUCACAUGGCUGGAUCUAGCAUGAGUGAGCUUCGUGCUCCCAUCUUCAAUGGAAGCAACUACGAUUUCUGGAGAAUAAAGAUGUGCACAAUCUUCAAAUCUCACAAGCUGUGGGAUAUGGUUGAGAAUGGAUAUGGGCAACCUGUGAAGAUGGAAGAAGGAGAAACUCUGACAGCAGCUGUGGAAGAAAAUAUUGCAAAAGAUGCUAAGGCAUUGGGUCUGAUCCAGAAUGCAGUUUCUGAUGAUAUUUUUCCCAGAAUUGCUUUGAAGGAAUCAGCCAAGGAAGCAUGGGAAAUCCUGCAGCAAGAAUUCAGAGGAGACAAGAAGGUAAGAUCUGUGAAACUUCAAGCUCUUAGGAGAGAAUUUGAAUACACUCGUAUGCAUGAUGAUGAAUCAUUGUCUGGAUAUGUCACUAAACUGCUUGAGCUAGUAAACCAAAUAAAGGCUUAUGGUGAAGAGUUAACUGAACAGAGAAUUGUUCAGAAACUCUUGAUUAGUUUAUCCAGAGAAUAUGAUUCCAUUGCUGAGGUUAUAGAGGAGACAAAAGAUACAGAAACUAUAGGGGUUCAAGAGGUUAUAGGCUCUCUAAAAUCUCAUGAACAAAGGCUGCAGAGGCAUAAUGAGAGAGUGACUGAGAAGGCUUUCUCUAGUUUGAAUGUGAGCUCUAAAGAUCAGUCUAACACAGGGCAGGCAGGGGGUUCCAAAUCCAAAAAGAAUUGGAAAUCUCAGAAAGGGAAGAAGUGGGACUCAAAGUCUGAAAAUAAUUUUAAAAAGGAAAGUCAGACUGAGGGAGCAAAGGUGCCUUGCAAAACCUGUGACAAAUUGCACUAUGGUGUCUGCUGGUUCAAAGGCAAACGUAAAUGUUAUAAAUGUGAUAGGUUUGGUCAUAUAGCCAAAGACUGCAAGGGAAAACCAGAAGCUGCUAACUAUGCAUCACACAAGGAGGAAGAAGGCAACAUGUUCUAUGCUUGUCAUGCUGCUGCAAUAGUAAAAAAUAAUGGUGUGUGGUAUGUGGACAGUGCAUGCAGCAACCACAUGACUUCACAAGCAUCCCUUCUAGUCAAUAUUGACACCAAAGUCACUGCAAAGGUAAAAAUGGGCACUAGAGACUUAGUGGAAGCAACUGGAAAAGGAACUUUGGUGAUUGACACUAAAGCUGGGCCUAGAUAUAUCAAAGAGGUUAUGCUUGUACCAGGAUUGGAUGAAAACUUACUUAGUGUAGGUCAAAUGGUAGAGCAUGGCUACUAUCUUGUCUUUGGUGAUUCUAUGGUUGAAAUAUUUGAUGACAGGUCAAUGGAGAAUCUGCUUGCAAAGGUUUCCAUGACAGGAAACAGAUGCUUCCCACUGUCAUUGAAAUAUGCAAACUCAGUGGCUAUGAAAGCAACAGUUGAAGAAUCCACUUCGUGUUGGCAUAGGAGGUUUGGCCAUUUGAAUAUGCAGAGUCUGAAGUUGUUACAACAACAGGAGCUGGUCUAUGGUCUGCCUGAAAUUGGAAAUGCAAACAGAAUUUGCCAAGACUGUGCAAUUGGAAAAUCCCACAGAGAGGCCUUUGGCAAAGAGAAAAUUUGGAGAGCUAGUUUACCUCUGGAGCUGGUUCAUUCAGAUGUUUGUCGUCCAAUGCAGACCACAUUAAUAGGUGGAAACAAAUAUUUUUUGACUUUCAUUGAUGACUGCACCAGAAUGUGCUGGGUGUACUUCAUGCAAUUCAAGUCAGAAGUUUUUAACAUCUUCAAGAAAUUUAAGGCUAUGGUAGAAUUACAAAGUGGCUACAAACUGAAGAAACUUAGGAGUGACAGAGGUGGGGAAUAUACCUCUGCUGAAUUUCUGCAGUUUUGUGAAGAAAUUGGUUUGGAAAGACAACUAACCGUGGCCUAUUCACCUCAGCAAAAUGGAGUUGCUGAGAGAAAGAACAGGACCAUUGUUGAGAUGAGCAAGACAAUGAUGAAAGAGAAGAAACUACCAUACAAAUUUUGGGGAGAGGCAUUGAAUACAGCUGUCUAUAUUCAGAAUAGAUGCCCCACAAAAGCUUUAGAUAAUGUCACUUCAUUUGAAGCUUUUAGUGGAAGAAAGCCUGGGGUUAAACACUUAAGAGUGCUUGGUUCUAUAUGUUUCUGUCAUGUGCCUAAUUAGUUGAGGUCUAAGCUGGAAGAUGCAGCUGUUAAGUGCAUUUUUGUUGGCUAUGGCAAAUGUGAAAAGGGGUACAAAGUGUACAAUUUGCAAACCAACAAGAUCACUACAUCUAGAAGUGUGAUCUUUGAUGAGAACUCACUAUGGGAUUGGGACAAGCAAAUUGUUGAUUCUGUCACAGUUCAGAUGAGGCUUGAAGACACUUCUAGAAGUAGUGAAAAGGAGCAUGAAGAAACAAUGAUAGACAUUUCCAGUCCACCUCAAGUAACUGCAGCUGCUACAAAUGUUACUUCACCAAGUGAUUCUCCAAGUUCUACACCUGUAAAGCUUAGAGACAUCACUGAGAUUUAUGCUAGAUGCAAUAUGAGCAUCAUUGAGCCAGAGAAUUUUGCAGAAGCAUCAAAGGAUAAGGCUUGGCAAAAGGCAAUGGAAGCAGAAAUGGAAAUGAUUGAGCAAAAUGAGACUUGGGAACUAGUAGAUAGACCAAGUGAUAAACCUGUGAUUGGUGUGAAAUGGGUUUAUAAGACCAAAUUGAACCUUGAUGGCUCAAUACAGAAGCAUAAAGCAAGGCUGGUGGUCAAAGGCUAUGCACAAAAGCCUGGAAUCGACUUCAAUGAGACUUUUGCUCCUGUGGCCAGACUUGACACAAUUAGAACUCUCAUAGCUUUGGCAGCUCAAAAGGGGUGGAAAUUAUACCAGUUAGAUGUCAAGUCUGCAUUCCUAAAUGGUGUGCUUAAGGAGGAAGUUUAUGUAGACCAACCGGAUGGAUUUGUAACUACAAACUAUGAAGACAAGGUGUACAAGUUGAAGAAAGCCUUGUAUGGUUUGAAACAGGCUCCAAGAGCCUGGUAUGAGGAAAUCAAUGCCUAUCUUGUUAGCUGUGGUUAUGUCAGAAGCACAAGUGAGGCUACAUUGUAUUGCAAGACUAAGGAAGACUCUGGAACUCUAAUAGUCUCAAUCUAUGUUGAUGACAUUGUGUAUACAGGCAGCAGUGAAGAAUUAAUUGAUGAAUUUCAAGACUGAAAUGAUGAGAAGGUAUGAAAUGACUGAUUUAGGCCUUUUAUAUCAUUUCCUUGGUAUGGCAGUGAUUCAAACUGAAUCCUGCAUUUUCAUAAAUCAAAAGAAGUAUGCUCUGACGUUGCUGGACAAGUUUGGUUUGAAGCAAUGUAAGCCAGUUAGUACUCCUCUAGUGGCAACUAAAAAAUUGUGCAAAGAUGAUGGAAGUGAUCCUGCAGAUGAGAGUGAGUACAGACAGAUUGUGGGUAACCUAUUGUAUUUGACAACUACAAGACCAGACAUAAUGUUUGCAGCUAGCCUAUUAGCUAGAUUCAUGCAUUGUCCAACAAAGAAACACUAUGGAACGGCCAAGAGAGUGCUGAGGUAUAUUCAAGGCACCAUUGAUUUUGGUAUUGAAUAUCAGAAAGGAAAAGAAGCCAUCCUAAUUGGAUAUUGUGACAGUGAUUGGGGUGGAAGCCAAGAUGACAUGAGAAGCACCUCUGGCUAUGCUUUCUCUUUUGGCAGUGGAGUAUUUUCUUGGGCAUUAGUCAAGCAACAUAGUGUUGCUCUCUCCACGGCUGAGGCUGAGUAUGUCAGUGCAAGUGAAGCUACUACACAAGCAAUAUGGUUGAGGUUUGUUCUAGAAGAUUUUGGAGAAUUGCAAACUGAUGCAACUCCAUUAAUGGUUGACAACACUUCUGCCAUUGCAAUGACAAGAAAUCCGGUUUUCCAUCAGAAAACCAAGCACAUCAACCGCAGGUAUCAUUUCAUCCGAGAUGCUCUACAAGAUGGAGUUGUGGAUUUGAGAUACUGCAGGUCUGAAGAACAAGUGGCUGACAUCUUCACUAAAGCUCUAUCUAAAGAUCGGUUUAACUAUCUUAGAGGAUUGCUUGGAGUUAAACCUGUUAACAAUUUAGAAGGGAGUGUUGAAGGAUAAAUUGUUUCCAGGUUUAGUUUAGUUAGUUAGUUAGUUGGACAGGUGUAUGGCUCAUAUGCCAUCACAUAUUGUUGGACUAACAUGUCCAGAUUCAUGCCAAGUGUACAGCUCACAUGCUGGUACAAAUGUAUUGGCU